rnacentral:misc_RNA from 1 species
GGGGAAAUCAAGGACUCUACUAACAUAAGUACACACUAGUAACUUUGUACAUUGCCAAUUGGGUUAAUGGAGGCAAUGCCAAUUGCCAAGCACAUGCAUUGCCUUGCUCAUACAAAUUUGCAUCUUCAAGAGGACUUUCAGCACUUGUGAUGUGGAGAAAGUUACAAAAAUUCGUGAGAUCAUAUAUGUAUAUUCAAAUUUCUUUAUAAAAUUUUAUUUGAAAACUAGCUUUGUGUUAUGAUAUACAAAACCAACUUUCAGAUGGAGAUACUGCGACCUUUGAUUUACAAUUGAUUAACCUCCUAAUCAACCAGAUAAAUUAGGUGCCAAACUCAU